AUCUACAGCCAUACCACCCUGUAUGCACCCGAUCUCGUCUGAUCUCGGAAGCUAAGCAGGGUUAGUACUUGGAUGGGAGACCGCCUGGGAAUACCAGGUCGUUU
rnacentral:rRNA from 1 species